GAGGACCUGCGCUCGCGGGGGCUGCUGCGCUCUGCGCUGGGGCCUCUCGGGCUGGGAAUGCGUGGCCCGGCUUUUGAGGAUUUCCUCGGUCCCCGGGCGGAAAUAGCUGGAAUGGAGGGGCCUCUCGAUUGGAGACUUACUGGUCAAAUAUUUACUUUUGUUGAUCACUGGAAACGCUACCUACCACGCAUUGACUAGGACCACAGUGAGGAGGGAACGCUUUAGAUGAUAGAGUUUUGUUUGGGGGCUUUUUUUUGUUUUGUUUUAUUCCAGGAAUUCAGGAAAUUGCCCCAGAAGUCCGAUUUCUGAUGUGUAAAACCUUUUUUUACAGAAAACCACGACUUCCUGGAAAAGUCUUCACCGUAAAUAUUAAUCUCUUUGGCAUGAAGAGGAAAACACUGCAGCUAAUUUUUCAUGGGAUAACAAAAAUAUAAACUGCAAUUUCUUUUAUUUUUUCCCUUUCGAUGGUCUUUUUAAACGAGGAGUAAAGAUUUCAACGCCAGGUCCAUUUUCCAAAUUUUGUACCAGAACCUUGAGGAUGCUUGUCUCUCGCGCGCUUCUCCGCAGACCGAACCCUCUCCGGAACUCAGAGCUGUUCACCCAAGUCAGCGGAGGAGGCCUCCUGGGACUUGAGCCUGAGGGUGGCGAAGAACCCUAGGCAGAGAUCAUCAACUUGGUACCGAUGAGUGACGCGGAGCUUGAACAUUCCAGCGACUUGCUCCAGGGCCACUCCCAGUUAAGAGGCUGAGUGUUAACUGCAAGAGGCUGAGUGUUAACUACGCCGUUGGCUCCAGGAACCGAACCGGGUUUGGAUACAGACCCAGUCACACCAUCCAUGAAAAGCUGUUUCUAUAAUAUGAAAAAUUGUUAAAUGACGCUUUAGUAAAAGCCAUUUAAAGAUCUUUUCUAAUAAAUUUUUCAUCUUUCCAAACAAUGCCGCUAAUUACCUUCUGAUACAGUGCGUUUCCAAAAUGUUUAUGAACUGAAAACAAAAAUAAAAAACUACAUUUUUAUGUUGUAAAGGGAGUGGGGGGGACUUUCUAAAAUUUGUCGUAUUAUAGCACUUCUCAUGACAACUUGACCCUUUAGGCAUAAUUUUUGACAAAAUGUCUUGUUCUUUUUCUUUUUACAGCUGAACGUCUUAAAUUCAAGGAGUAAACACAUAUAAUGAGAUAAAAGUUUAUCACUGUUAGCACAACCAAUAAUUUGCAUCGUAGUCUCAAUUUCCUCGAAUCUUUAAUAAAACCAAAGUGGUCAAGUGUUUAAAUGAUUAUA
rnacentral:lncRNA from 1 species